GAUGAACGCUGGCGGCGUGCCUAAUACAUGCCAGUCGAGCGAACAGACGAGGAGCUUGCUCCUCUGACGUUAGCGGCGGACGGGUGAGUAACACGUGGAUAACCUACCUAUAAGACUGGGCUAACUUCGGGAAACCGGAGCUAAUACCGGAUAAUAUAUUGAACCGCAUGGUUCAAUAGUGAAAGACGGUUUUGCUGUCACUUAUAGAUGGAUCCGCGCCGCAUUAGCUAGUUGGUAAGGUAACGGCUUACCAAGGCAACGAUGCGUAGCCGACCUGAGAGGGUGAUCGGCCACACUGGAACUGAGACACGGUCCAGACUCCUACGGGAGGCAGCAGUAGGGAAUCUUCCGCAAUGGGCGAAAGCCUGACGGAGCAACGCCGCGUGAGUGAUGAAGGUCUUCGGAUCGUAAAACUCUGUUAUUAGGGAAGAACAAAUGUGUAAGUAACUAUGCACGUCUUGACGGUACCUAAUCAGAAAGCCACGGCUAACUACGUG
rnacentral:rRNA from 1 species